AGAGUCGAUUGGACAGUCGCUGCUGCAUGGUUUCCAUGUGGGGGAGGAAAGUCCGGGCUCCAUAGGGCAGAGUGCCAGGUAACGCCUGGGAGGCGCGAGCCUACGGAAAGUGCCACAGAAAAUAACCGCCUAAGCGCAUCAGCGCCGGUAAGGGUGAAAAGGUGCGGUAAGAGCGCACCGCACGGCUGGCAACAGUUCGUGGCUAGGUAAACCCCACUCGGAGCAAGACCAAAUAGGAAUCCAAGGCGUGGCCCGCGCUGGAUUCGGGUAGGUCGCUUGAGGUACUCAGUGAUGGGUAUCCCAGAGGAAUGGCUGUCCUCGACAGAACCCGGCUUACAGAUCGACUCUCUCC
rnacentral:RNase_P_RNA from 2 species